rnacentral:rRNA from 1 species
CACGUAGUUAGCCGGGGCUUCUUAAUCAGGUACCGUCUGGCGACCCAAAGGUCGCUAUUUCUUCCCUGCUGAUAGAGCUUUACAUAACGAAUUACUUCUUCACUCACGCGGCGUCGCUGCAUCAGAGUUCCCUCCAUUGUGCAAUAUUCCCCACUGCUGCCUCCCGUAGGAGUCUGGGCCGUGUCUCAGUCCCAAUGUGGCCGUCCACCCUCUCAGGCCGGCUACUGAUCGUUGCCUUGGUGUGCUUUUACCACUCCAACUAGCUAAUCAGACGCGGGUCCAUCUCAUACCAGAUUUCUCCUUUUCACACAAAAACAUGCGUCCUCGUGCGCUUAUGCGGUUUUACCACCAGUUUCCCGAUGCUAUCCCCCUGUAUGAGGCAGGUUGCCACGCGUUACUCACCCGUCCGCCACUAAGAUACUUCUCUUUCACCUUCGAAAAGCUUCCAAGCAAUAUCUCCGUUCGACUUGCAUGUGUUAGGCACGCCGCCAGCGUUCGUCCG